AACCGUAGAAAUUGAUCGAAACUGAAUUAUUCCCAGUUUGUCGACACUGGAAUAUUCCCACUUAACCGACAUCCCAAAUAACCGACGUCGCAAAUGAUCGACACCACAAAUUGUCGACAUCCCAUAUUGUCGACAAUGAAAUAGUUUCAUUUUGUCGACACUGAAAUAGUCCCAGUAUAUCGACAAGCACCCGUUCUUCGGAGCUACUCUUGAAAAGGAGUUGUUCUAAUUCAUCGUUCAGUUCCUCAACUCACGAGUCGCAAUAUUUGAUUCCGAAUUCCGACGGACAUCUUCAAGCUGGCCAUUUAUUGACUAAAAACUUUUAUAUUGUAAAUAUUUAUCUUUUUUAUUUCUUUCCUUGUUUACAAGAAAAUAGAUGACUCGAGUGUUACAAACAAUAGUUUUUAAGGAAUAAUGUGAAAUAAGUUAAUUUUUAUUUGGUAAAAAACGUAAUCAACGUGAUAACUUAAUAACAUUAAGUAGUCCUACCAGACACUAACUUAGAACUGAAGCCUACCAGUAAAAUGGGGGCGUUGUAAUUAAUAUCCUCCGACAUUGGAGAAUACAGGGGAGAGGUGCCAGAGGAAGAGGAGAUCGAGGAUGGGGCGAAGUAAAGACUAAGAUUGAAGAGAACUAACUAAUGGCCUGAUGACAGGGUGGAUGGCGAUGGAGGCAUGGAGGUUGGGGGAGAGGAGGCUGAAGAAGUGGAGACAAAUCAGUUUGGAUCCAUUAUGUUGAUUAGUUUAACAUUUAUUUUGAACAUCAGUAUUUACAUUUUUUUCUCAUUUAGAUUAUUAAAUUAAAAUAAUUUUAUUGUUUUUAUGAAGAUUUUUUCUUACAUUUUUAAUAUUUGUUUGUACUUCUGCCUGGUAAAAAAAAUACUGUUUAUUAUGUUUGUUAAAAUGAUUACUUUCACUAACUUACCUUGUCUUGGGUAACAAGAGAUAUCUUGAUAUUUAACUAGCAGGGUGCCUGUUCUAUGGGCGGGGAUUGUAUAAGUCAGUAGAAACCUUCUUAUAUUUCGAUACUUGGUAAAUUAAUCAUUUCCAACUUUAUAUAGUAUAGAUCGCUAUUCCUGUAUUGAUGUACUGAAAUGAAUAAAAUUAUAUGAAAUGAAA